rnacentral:tRNA from 1 species
CCGUGGCUCAGUUGGUAGAGCGACGCAUUCGUAAUGCGUAGGUCGACGGUUCGAGUCCGUCCG